rnacentral:rRNA from 1 species
GAUCCUGGCUCAGGAUGAACGCUAACUACAGGCUUAACACAUGCAAGUCGAGGGGCAGCGGGAUUGAAGCUUGCUUCAAUUGCCGGCGACCGGCGCACGGGUGAGUAACGCGUAUCCAACCUUCCGUACACUCAGGGAUAGCCUUUCGAAAGAAAGAUUAAUACCUGAUGGUAUCUUAAGCACACAUGUAAUUAAGAUUAAAGAUUCAUCGGUGUACGAUGGGGAUGCGUUCCAUUAGGUAG